CACGUAGGGCGCAAGCGUUGUUCGGAAUUACUGGGCGUAAAGGGCUCGUAGGCGGCCAACUAAGUCAGACGUGAAAUCCCUCGGCUUAACCGGGGAACUGCCGUCUGAUACUGGAUGGCUUGAGAUUGGGAGAGGGAUGCGGAAUUCCAGGUGUAGCGGUGAAAUGCGUAGAUAUCUGGAGGAACACCGGUGGCGAAGGCGGCAUCCUGGACCAACACUGACGCUGAGGGAGCGAAAGCCAGGG
rnacentral:rRNA from 1 species